AUACGGAGGGUCCAAGCGUUAUCCGGAAUCAUUGGGUUUAAAGGGUCCGCAGGCGGUCAAUUAAGUCAGAGGUGAAAGCCCAUCGCUCAACGAUGGAACUGCCUUUGAUACUGGUUGACUUGAGUUAUACGGAAGUAGAUAGAAUAAGUAGUGUAGCGGUGAAAUGCGUAGAUAUUACUUAGAAUACCGAUUGCGAAGGCAGUCUACUACGUAUAUACUGACGCUGAGGGACGAAAGCGUGGGGAGCGAACAGGAUUAGAUACCCUAGUAGUCC
rnacentral:rRNA from 1 species